AAAUAAUUAUGAUCGGGUAUCUCUGAUUUAUUAUCGCCAUUGAUCAAAAUGUGUAAAAUACUUAAAGCUAAUACAAGUUUUCUGGGGAUAAAUAGAAUGAAAGACAAUGAGUUUCACUUGCUCCCGAAUCCAAGCAAUAAAAUUUGUGCCCCCGACGAACAUUUAGGAAAACGUUGCAAUUCUUGUUUAAUCUUCAUCCUUUCACCAGGAUCAGUAACUUCCCCGCUGCAGUGUAGUGACAUCACUUUAAGCGACAGAGCAGAUGCAAGCAAUAGCUUCACCAAGUGGAAGACAUAGUUGGAAGCCGUGACACCCAAUACAUCGACCAUGUGAAGUUGGCAUAGUGAUGUGUCUUUCAAAUCUACAGAGUCCAAAUUGCUUUGCUAAAUAUGGUGGAUUUGUCCUCUUAUCAUCGACCUACAAACAAUAACAAAUAAAUGGAGAGGCUCAUGUUAAAACUUAAAACUCAAGCCAGUUUACACUUUGUUAUAAUUACAUUGCUUCGGACAUGUAUGUUUUGGUUCUCACCAGUAUUGCCAAAAAUCUUCGCAAGCUGGGGAAACAUCUAAUUAAGUAAAUCGCAUUUGAAAUCUGACACAAAUUAUAGGAUCCAAGCGGGCACAACCCCAACUCUUUCAAGUUGUCAAAUUUUGUUGCUCUCCCAUUUAUCAUAGUGAGUACAGGUCGGCAGACCUAUAAAUAUAUGUAGAACAAUACAUUAAGACAUGAUGAAAAACGGGUUGCAAAGACUUUGUAAUUUUAUCAAUCUUACCUGGAGAGCGAAGCCGUUUGUACAGAAAGCAUAGAUUCUUGGCAGAUUACCAAUAAACUUGGUCAUAUUGAAGGGCUUCUUGGGUUUAUAAUUUGGGGAGUAACUGUAUUUCAGAAUCAAGAUUUCAAGUAGUGAAGUGCAUUCGAACCAUCUCCAAUCAAGUUGCUCACUCCCAGUGACACGCACAUCUAUAAGACGGUUUUCACUUGUGAAUUGGCAGGCCAAGUGUUGAAUUCCAGUACAGUGUUCUAAGACGAGUGACCUUAGUCGAGUCCCAAAUGAAAUGUCAGCUGUGAAUUUGACAUAUCCUAGUCGAACCCGUACUAGAUUAGCAAAUCUUGUAGAUUUAUAUGGGGAAUUCAAUAUCCAUGUAUGGAGCUGCAAGCUGGUCAAGCCCACACAAUCAAAGAAACACGAGGGGAUCUCAUAGGCUUUGUUUCGAAGGUUACAAAGCCCUAACCAUCUUAUCCUCGGAUUAAAAAUGUGGUCUUUCCACCGAGCCACAGGGCACUGAUCAAGAUUUGGAGGAAUGUAGAACGAAAUACUCUGUAUUAGGCCAAUUCGACUUAAAAAGAUCAUUUCAAGAGCUCUGACAAUAACAGAUUGGUGCGCGUCUUUGUCUUUAUUACAAGUCAGCUGUGAGAAAAGUGACUUAUCUAGACGUAGAUGGAAGCUCAUUCGCCAGAGCUGCCUCCAUUCUCUUGACACAGCGCUAGUUCUUGCUCUAUCGUAGACUGACAAACGAACUAGGAUACAAAAUAUUAAGUCCAGGGGCAACUUCUUCAUCAUGUCUCUAUCACCAAGUUGUGACAUUUUAGGAUGAUUCCGACCAGUUGAAGUUUACAGGCUUUGCUACAGAGAAAACUCAACUGAUAUUACAUAAGAAAAAUAUAACAUUGUUUCAAGAAGUCAAGAUCGUGUAAAAUUCAGGACCAUAAAUUUUUGGUUUCAAUUAAAGAUGAUUCCAAUCUUGUUUAGAAUAUGUAGAAGCAGAUGACUGUUAUAAACAUAAUAAUAAUAACUUGUUCAAGUAUAUGUAGAUGCAUUGUUUUUCAAAAAAAAAAAAAAAUCAUACGUAGAUGCAUACAUGUGUAUAUGUAAUCAUGAAAUACAUAAAAUCACACAUUCUUGAAAUAACAAUGGUAUAACAAUGGAGGAAUGAAUCAAAAAUAACAAGUACCUGGUUGUGGUGAGUUUGUUCAGCUCCGUGACAUGCAUCAAGAGAAUAGUUAGACUUGGAGGAUUUUUUAUUAUCUUCUUUUUUGUCACAGUGGACUUGAGGAUUUUUAAGCAUUAAAAACAUGUGAUAAGCUCAAGAUGGUAAUUAUAUCAUAUUUAUGGAAUUUUGUAAAGUAGAUAAACUGAUAAUAUUCACCUUACCAUAUCCAUUCAUUUGAUUUACCUAUUUUAAAAAACGUAUCAUUAAACUCCAAGAUGGUAAUUAUAUAUACCAUAUUUAUGAAAAUUAUUAAAGUAUAUAAACAAAUCAUAUUCAUUGGUGAGAUUGCCCACAUCUUUAUCAUAUAUAUUCGUUUAAUUUACCUACUUUAAAAAGCGUAUCAUGCUUUUUUCCAUUCAUGGAAAUUGGUUGUGUUCAAAGCGAAUUAUAAAAAAUGUAUCAAAAUCUGUAGAUAUUCAAUUAGGAUAUUAAUUAUGUUAUGAAAAUUAUAUAAUAUUUAAUUGGAUUUUAAAUUAUACUUUAAAGUUUAAAAAUUUAAAUUUUAUGAUAUUUAAUUAUGUUAUGAAAAGUUUAAAUUAACCCAUAUUGCAUGCGACAGAGAGAUGCUUGGCUCUUAUGUCGGUUAUACUAUACGUUGUGGAAAUAAUUCGUUCAGCACAGAAAUACAAUUCUCACAUGUAAUCGUCUUUUGUAUUUCUGUAUAAUAUAACUAGUUGAGAAUCCGCGCGUUGCGGCGGCCUAUAAAAAUUACAUUAAUGAUUCAAAAUUAAUAUUUAUAGAAUAAAAUCAAUUUGCAGCGACUUAUAAAAAUUAUAUUAAUGAUUCAAAAUUAAUAUUUAUAAAAUAAAAUAAAUUUUAUAUUAUAAACAUCUCGAUGCAAUACUAAUAUUAAUUUUUAAAAUUGCAAAAUUGGACUAUAAUUCAUAUGUGAAAAAAUGAUAAUAAGUUUCUACAUGUAAUAACGAUUUAAAGCACUACGAAUCUUAAUUUUAAUUGUGUUUUUCUUUUUGAAAAGUAAUUAUGUUCUUGACUAACAUUGUCAUUAACUUUUCCAAACACUACUUCUUAGACACAUACACCACUACCUGCAUUUAAAAAGCAUACGACUAUACUGACUGAUGACAUCAAUAAAACAGUCAGUAAGCUUGCAAACAACAACAAAUACGUCUGACGACCAAAACAAAUAUUAUAAAAGAAUCACCAACAAACAUAUAUCAUUGUAAUUAGGGGUGUGCAUUCGGUUAACCGAAACCGAAAUUUAUUUCGGUCAACCGAAACUGAAAUUCUAUGAAACCGCGGUUAAAAAAUCGGAUAACCGAAAAAUGAAAAUUUGGCUACCGAAAACCGAACCGAAAUAUAAAUUUCGAUUAACCGAACCGAAAUUAUUUUCGUUAUUCGGUUCGGUUUUCGAUUAACCGAACCGAAUGCACACCCUUAACUGUGAUAUUGAGAGACAGUGUAGGUUGUGUUUAGAUGAUCCAAAACCCUACAACCUAUAAGGGUAUUUAUAGGUGCCGAGAAACUUGUGCGCUACUCUUUUCCAUAAUUAAAUAAUCUGAAAUAGAAUCAGAUUAAAAAACUUGCAAGCUCCUAUAUUCCAUAAAUAAUCUGAAAUAAAAUCAGACUAAUACUUUCAAUUUAUUAUAUUCCAUAAAUAAUCUGAAACAGAAUCAGAUUAAUUUAUACCAAGAUAUAUACCAUAUCAAUGAAUCUGAAACAAUUUUUUUUUUAUAUCUUUCACCCAAAAAUUCCGGAAAAUUAGAAAUAUAGAACGGAGCUAUCUGAGAGGCUUUUUUUAUAUCUUUCACCCAAAAAUUCCGGAAAAUUAUAGAACGGAGCUAUCUGAGAGGCUAGAGGCUUUUUUUAUAUCUUUCACCCAAAAAUUCCGGAAAAUUAGAAAAAUAGAACGGAGCUAUCUGAGAGGCGCCACCUACACGCCACUCGCUUCUCCUUUAUAUAAGUAUAUUGAUUUUAGAUGGGACAAAAGGACUUUGGACAUAGCACUGAAUAAUCAUAGCAAAGUAUGUCUUUUAGGAACCUUCUGAAGUAAAUUUACAUAACAAAUCAGUUUUUAGUCAAUUUUCGCAUGUUUUUCAGAAUUGCUGUUUUUUUCUUCAUGUACAAAAUUCUCUAGUUAUACUUUAAAGUUUAAUAGCAUAUAAUUGGAUUAAGUUAAAAUUCAUUAGAAUAUAAUGAUAUUUAAAUGCUUAUGACAUGUUAAGGACUUAAUAAAAUGAUUGAUUUUGUGAUAUUGUGCAAUAUUUAAUAUUUUUCCAAAUUCCUCCAUGUCUCGUAAAUGAUCCAAGACACAUUCUGAUCCAUAAAUAUAAUACCACAACUGGCGCGAUGGUAAAAAAUUUAUUUGGAGUUUAUAUAUUAUAACUCAAAUUAGUUUUACUGAGCAUCUAUUCCGAAAACUAUUUUAGUUUGUUUCCAUCUAAACAAAGAAUAUACUUUGAAAACCAUUUUAUUUUAUCCAUAUAAGAAUAAUGAGUUUUUUUUUUUUGAAAUAAUUUUUUAUACACUUAGGGUUUAUAUCUAAACGUAGAAAUCAUUUCAUAUUAUGUUAAUAGGAACCAACACGAGCUAAAGUUUUUUUUGGAUAUUCAAGAUCAUGGAAUUCCAAAGUACGAUGCAUAUCAGGCAAUAAGAACUCAAAUAUAAAUAAAUCUCCCAUUCCAUAAGAUGUAUGUAACGGUAAUAUCAGCGAUCAAAUGAGGUAAAACUUACACGAUGUAUUCGAUUGGGAUUUUAAUGGAUUGUUUUAGUCUAUAGAUUUUAAUGGAUUGUAUGUGAUUUUGAUUUUGCGUGGAUUAUUGAUAAAAUGUUGCAGAGUUGAUAGGAUUCAAGCACAAUGCUUCAAAAUCUCAUUAAUUUUGAUGGGAUUUCAAAAAACUUAAAAUACACGGAAGAAUGCCACAAAAUCCAUCAUUUUAUGAAAUGCAAAAAAAUCCAUCAGCAUUUGAAUACCAUCAGAUUUUAAUGGAUUUUAAACAAUCAUUGAAUACCAUCGGAUUUUGAAGCAUAAUUUAAAAUCCCAAUUGAAUAACACCAGAUUUUGUAGCAUAAUUUAAAAUCCCAAUUGAAUACCUCAAAAUUUUAAUGGAUUUCAAACAAUCCCAAUCGAAUACUCCUGGAUUUCAUGAAUGCAAAAAAAUGUUUUAAAAUCCCAAUCCAAUAAACCCUUCAAAAAGGAAUAAGUUUUCAUUUAAAAAAAUUCUAAAUUUACUACAUUAAAAGUGCCUGUAACAAGGAUCGGAAAGAAACUACUUGUUCUGUAAGAGAGAUAGUUAAAAAAAGGAGUUAGAAAUAUCAAAAAUAAAAAAUAUAGUCAAUGUCUUAAAAAAAUCACACUCCAACCACCUUAACCCAUAAGCUCAGGUGAAUCAAAAGAUGGAGUAUCAGGUCCAGAGACCUCAGCACCCUGAGCCGAAAAGUGGUGGCCUCUAUGCUAGGUAUGAUCUCAUAUUCUCAUCUCAUUUUAUCUGCAUGCAGGAUGAUUUCGUGUUAUUUAGAACUCAGUUUUGGUCUAAUUUCCGCGCUUCUUUGAUCAACGCAGCUUGUUUGCGAUGUGCAGUUGCUGCUGUUGUUGCCGCUGCUGCUUCACCAGGACUUGUUGCUGCUGCUAAAGAUAUCUGAAGCUCAUUUUGUACAAGUAUAACAAACCUAGCUAGUGUCGAAAUUCUCAAUUUCAAGCAAAAUAAUUAUGAUCGGAUAUCUCUGAUUUAUUAUCGCCAUUGAUCAAAAUGUGUAAAAUACUUAAAGCUAAUACAAGUUUUCUGGGGAUAAAUAGAAUGAAAGACAAUGAGUUUCACUUGCUCCCGAAUCCAAGCAAUAAAAUUUGUGCCCCUGACGAACAUUUAGGAAAACGUUGCAAUUCUUGUUUAAUCUUCAUCCUUUCACCAGGAUCAGUAACUUCCCCGCUGCAGUGUAGUGACAUCACUUUAAGCGACAGAGCAGAUGCAAGCAAUAGCUUCACCAAGUGGAAGACAUAGUUGGAAGCCGUGAC
rnacentral:lncRNA from 1 species